rnacentral:lncRNA from 1 species
CUGUGAUCUGAGUGAAGCAGUUCUAUAAUUGGGUGUUUUUCCUGUAGAGAAAACAUAUAUUUUUUCUUCCUCCCUCCGGUUCUAUUUUUAAGAUGAAAAACCUAUAUGCCAUGUUUUGCCUCUAUAUAUAUAUAUAUAUAUACAUACACAUAUAUACAGAACAAAAAUCAUCCUUUUCUUCUUUACAGUUUUUCUCCUACCAUAAGAAAGUGUUCUUACUUC